rnacentral:tRNA from 1 species
GGCUUAGUAGUGUAAAUAUGCAUAUCAGACUGCAAUUCUGAAGGAGUUUUAACCUAAGCUU